CACGCCCUUCUUUAGUUGUAUUUUUUAGCUUUGAGCUCCAGAUUGGGACAGAGUUAAAUUAUAUAGAUUAUUUGUGAUGCAUUUACUUGCUUGGUGCGUGGGGAUUUCUGAGACAGAUUUGUGCCCUACGUUUUGAGGCCAGCUUGCUGGUACCCGAAUGUGGUUAGCAAUUUUUGUUUUAGUUGUAAAAAAAGUAUGGCUUACGGACUUUAUGUGGAUUGAUUUGGUUGUAAGUUACGGUCGCAUGCGACACGUGCUUUUCAAUCUUUUCGGUCUGUGUAAUGUUCUCAUACUUAUUCCCCAUGUAAAAGCCGGUCAUCUAUCCGACCCGUCUUGAAACACGGACCAAGGAGUUUAUCGUGUGCGCAAGUUUUUGGGUGUUUAAAACCUAAAGGCGAAAUGAAAGUAAAUGACUCUUCGAGUCUGAUGUGCGACCUUUUCUUUUUGAAAAGUGCAGCAUGGCCCCAUUCUAACUGUUUACAGUAGGGUGGAGGAAGAGCGUACGCGGUGAGACCCGAAAGAUGGUGAACUAUUCCUGAGCAGGACGAAGCCAGAGGAAACUCUGGUGGAAGUCCGAAAGCGGUUAACU
rnacentral:rRNA from 1 species